rnacentral:ncRNA from 2 species
CUUGACGAUUGCGACCCUGAUCACCAGUGUUGAAAGGCCAUGAGCGGUGUCAGGUGGAGGAAGCCGGUGUGAAUCCGGCGCGGUCCCGCCACUGUCACCGGGGAGCGAGCCUGCAUCUUCAGCCACUGCAUCAGCGCGGGAAGGCAGCAGGGGAGUGUCGAUCCGGGAGCCAGGAGACUCCAGGUACCGCUGACCACG